rnacentral:rRNA from 1 species
GACGAAGGAUGCAAGCGUUAUCCGGAUUCAUUGGGUUUAAAGGGAGCGUAGGCGGCCUUGUAAGUCAGUGGUGAAAUCCUGUAGCUUAACUACAGAACUGCCAUUGAUACUAUUUGUCUUGAAUACCCUGGAGGUGAGCGGAAUAUGUCAUGUAGCGGUGAAAUGCUUAGAUAUGACAUAGAACAUCUAUUGCGAAGGCAGCUCACUACGGGAAUAUUGACGCUGAGGCACGAAAGCGUGGGGAUCAAACAGG